CCAAACCUAGCCUAUUUGUGAAAAGUAAAAUUAACUCCAUGUGAAGGCAGAUGAACCAGCAUAAACUAAUAUAUAAAGAGAAACCCCUAAAUUGUUCUUUCAAAAGGAGUUAUUUCUCUCUCUUGAAUUCGUUCCUGCGGUGCUUCACGCUUCUUCACCACCCUCUUGUUUGUUUGCUGAUUUGAGGCCAUUUAAUCAGGUUUUGCUGAGGUGAAGAGAUCAUAUUCAUUGUGUGGUGUGCAGUUUUCAAGUGAAAAGAUAAGCAUUAAGGUUGAGGAUGCUACCAAAGCUCUUGGAGCAACAAACGGGGCAACUCUAGAAAAGAACGGACAGAUUCUGCGACUACCAUAUGCAAAAAGCAUUCUUGGACCGAGAUCAGGGCCAUCAGGAUCUUCUCAGUCAAGCAG